rnacentral:rRNA from 1 species
UACGGAGGGUGCAAGCGUUAUCCGGAUUCACUGGGGUUAAAGGGUGCGUAGGUGGGCUGGUAAGUCAGUGGUGAAAUCUCCAGGCUUAACUUGGAAACUGCCAUUGAUACUAUUAGUCUUGAAUACCGUGGAGGUCAGCGGAAUAUGUCAUGUAGCGGUGAAAUGCUUAGAUAUGACAUAGAACACCAAUUGCGAAGGCAGCUGGCUACACGAAUAUUGACACUGAUGCACGAAAGCGUGGGGAUCAAACAGG